rnacentral:rRNA from 1 species
AGUGAACGCUGGCGGUAGGCCUAACACAUGCAAGUCGAACGGCAGCACAGUAAGAGCUUGCUCUUACGGGUGGCGAGUGGCGGACGGGUGAGGAAUACAUCGGGAUCUACUUUUUCGUGGGGGAUAACGUAGGGAAACUUACGCUAAUACCGCAUACGACCUACGGGUGAAAGUAGGGGAUCUUCGGACCUUGCGCGAUUGAAUGAGCCGAUGUCGGAUUAGCUAGUUGGCGGGGUAAAGGCCCACCAAGGCGACGAUCCGUAGCUGGUCUGAGAGGAUGAUCAGCCACACUGGAACUGAGACACGGUCCAGACUCCUACGGGAGGCAGCAGUGGGGAAUAUUGGACAAUGGGCGCAAGCCUGAUCCAGCCAUACCGCGUGGGUGAAGAAGGCCUUCGGGUUGUAAAGCCCUUUUGUUGGGAAAGAAAAGCAGCAGGUUAAUACCCCGCUGUUCUGACGGUACCCAAAGAAUAAGCACCGGCUAACUUCGUG